CCCCAGGAGUGCAGCUUUUGUACCAGAGGAUGGAAACCUUCUAGCUGCUCUGUGACUCACGGUCGUCUAGAGUGGGCUGAGACAUGGCAGCAGAUUGUCACUCACUUAAGGACAGAGAAACCUCAGGACUCAAGGGGGCCACAGCCCUGAUUUGAGGAGCCAGACUCAUCUUGACCUAACAGCUGCUCAGCGGGUUCGUUCCAUCAUAGCCCGGAUUGGUGAACCUGAGUCAGAAGAGGUAUCUCCAGGUUUGCUGGCAUGGGAAACCUGCUGAAAGUCCUUACCAGGGAAAUUGAAAACUAUCCACAUUUUUUUCUGGAUUUUGAAA